rnacentral:rRNA from 1 species
UACGAAGGGGGGCUAGCGUUGCUCGGAAUCACUGGGCGUAAAGCGCACGUAGGCGGAUCUUUAAGUCAGGGUGAAAUCCUGGAGCUCAACUCCAGAACUGCCUUUGAUACUGGCGACCUUGAGUUCGGGAGAGGUGAGUGGAACUGCGAGUGUAGAGGUGAAAUUCGUAGAUAUUCGCAAGAACACCAGUGGCGAAGGCGGCUCACUGGCCCGAUACUGACGCUGAAGGUGCGAAAGCGUGGGG